rnacentral:lncRNA from 1 species
AUGAACGAAUCGCGAUAAUAGAGUUUCAAUACUAUAUCUGCACAUGUUUUGUUAAGUUGGAUGAGUAACAUGCAUGUCAUAUCAUAGAGAUCUUUUUAAUUUUUGUUACUCUUUCCAUUCAGAAUUUUAAUGACAAACUUCCCAAAGUGUUCAUCCCAGUCCAGGUGGGCUCCCAUGACAAGAUGCCAUGGACUAGGCAGCAUCAACUCCUGGAUUUAUUUUUCUUAGUUCCUGAGGUCAGAAAUCCAAGAUCCAGGGGUGGUGAGGUAGGUUUCAUCUAGAGGCCGCAUCCCUCUGUGCUCACGGGACCUCUUCUUUGUGCAGGCAGAGACGACGGAGAGCUCUCUUACAAGGGCAGUAAUCCCAUCACAGGGCCCCACCCUCAUGACCUUGUCUAACCCUAACCCUCCCAAGGCCCCCCCUCCAAACACCUUCACAUGGGGAGUUAGGGCGUCAACAUACAAAUUUGGGGCGGUGGGUGCAGGUGCACAUAUUCCAUCCAUACAAACUUGCCCAUUUAAGGACGUAUUUUCCUUGUAGAUCUUCACUGGAAAGAGGAAACUUUUUAGUAGUAAGAGGAUAAAAAUCUCUGUCAUCCCAAUUGACCCAAGGUCUUCAAAAGAACGACUCUAUUAAAGCAGGAACUCAACAUCUCCGUUUUAAUUUUCCAUAGUUCCUUACUCACACCAUCCAGCUUUAAACCCAUGUGACUCCACAAGGGUGUUCAUUCUCUUUUUUAAUUAGUUAUGUCUCCCUUAGGACAACGAAGACAUUGGUAUUAACACUUUCCAAAUGCCAUUUAUUAUCAUUCCAGAAGGACACUAUUUGCAGAACCACCCUAUAACCAGGCCAGAAUAACACAUCAUUAAUGGCUUCAGGAAAAGAAAAUGUAUCAAUUAAAGCACAAUUCUUUUAUAAAAAGAAAAUAAUUAGCCAAAAGCCCACAUGUUGGCAGAUACUGUUAUUUCACAGCAGAUUUAAUGUGGUGGCAACACAACUGAUUUUGGAAGUGAAAAUAAUCGAGGCUGCAGACACACGUGGCACUGAAAAUAGGAUUUUCUCCCGUUGGAGGGUUGAGAUGCACUGUUAACUAAAACACUGAUUUCUAUACCCAGCAACCCUGAGGCAAUCUUAACAGAGAGGAUCAGAGAAUGCUCUGUCUCCAUGGCAGCCCAGCAUCUGUGGGGCUCUGCUGUUGGUGUUAGAUGUUGUGUUGCUCGCUGAGAGGUUGCCAAGCUGUAACUGCACAACCAUGACAUAAAGCGAUUGACCUAGUACCCGUAGCUUUGAAGCUGGACAUCUAAAAUGCAGCAGCAUAGACUAAUUAAGUAUAGACUACACUGCUCCCAAAAUAGUAAGACAAUCAAUGCAGGAGAAGCAGGUCCUUCAGUUCAUGCUGUGGAGCUCGGGCUCUGAGCUGGGCACUGUGCUGGGUGCAGAGUUGGACUUGAUGUGAAGGAGAGUGGUGCACAACUGACGAUGAUGCAACUGAGAAGGCUCGGUGGAGGCUUCAUGGAAGAAACAAACGACCUGGACUUCGAAGAACAGAGAGAACUCGCCACAAAGGGAAAGUGCAGGAGAGGUACGUGAACAGCUCUAUUGAAUCGGGGUGCAGGGUGGUCAAAGGGAAGGGAGGGGUCAUCAGUUCCAAGGCAGCUAAAGCCCUGAGAAGGAUGUUGAAGGCCAGGUCGAUUCAUGGGAAGCCGGUGCUGCUUUUGAGAAGGGGACGAUACCCUCGUAAGUAGGAGAAAUACACUUUGUCUAUCGCAUCAGAUACACUCGAGACUCAGGUCGCAGGCAGGACAUUUAAGAGGUCUUUGGAAAAGUCUGGUCAGGGCUGACAGGAGCGGAGUAACGGCAUCUUCAGAGGGAACGCUGAGGAAGGCGGGCCUUGCAGGGCUUGUCGGGCCGGACUGGAGCCCUGCACGUGAAGGAGCGGGGGCAGAUGAAGGACGCUGCAGGGCCGGAGACGAGGCAGGGGCGGACAAGGACGGACACACCCGCGGCUCCCGCAGCAGCACGGUUUCUCGGCCGAGAGGCUGCGACACGGCAGGAGGGCCCUGGAGUCAGGCCCCCCGCCCCGCAGGCCCUUCCCAGCCGGCUGAGGCCCCCUUCGUGGGCGCGGAGCCCUCCUCGGGAAGAGGCUUUGACGACGCCCGUCGGCCGUCUCCGGGUUAGAAUCGUGGAACGGAAGGCAGAAGUCUGUGAAAGGCACUUGGCGCUUCAGGGCAAGAGCGUCACACAGGCGGGCACGCGCCAGGCCCCGCGCUGUGAUCCGCUGACGAGGGGGCGCGCACGAAGGCUCGGGGCCCAGCCACACGCACACCAGGACGCGCAGGCGCUGGGUGCGCACGACGGUCCGCGCGAGGACCGGAGAGGCGACCCCGCGCGGCCCUCGCGGCGGGAAAGCGGUGAGACGCACGUGCCGCGUCGAACAGGGCGCCGUCCGCAGUGGAGGCUGGAGGCCGGGGCUGUUGCGAGCGUUUUCCCUGAACGCCAGGCAUGGAAAUGGUGGCACGCGAACAAUAAGUCAGGUCGGGCCGGCAGUGGGACUGUAGUUUCCUGAUUUCUACCCUCUUCCGUUUCUGGAGAGGUCACUGGUUUUUCUUUUUUCGAUCUUCAUCAGAAAAAGUGAGCCUGAAGCCCACCCUCAGGUCAGAGCGCGGGGCUGGGGAGGAAGAAAGAGGCGCGCGCGCUCCGGGCUUCAAAGCUGGGCCUCGAUGAAGGGAAACAACGCUUAUAUUGUAUCUCACACAAUUUCAGGACUUACUGGGUUGACAGAGAAAAGCAAUUUACAUUAUAUGAGGAAGAAUUGUCUGGAAAGGAGCCCUCUGUAACAAUGACUGACAUCUAUACACUCCUUUAGCAUUUGCAGACACUCCGACGUGACUUCUCUCGGACACACGGGCUUCCCACCCUCCUCAGAACAGCCCCCGAAGUGUAGGGGCCUAGGAACGGGGCUCCAUGGACGAGCCCAGAAGAUGAACAACACCCAGCGUCCCUUUCUGAAGUGUGUCCCAGACUUCAUCUCACCUGUGCCCCUCGUGCUUCACAGGAGGAACGCGGCCGGUUUUUAUUGCUGAAGGUAGAGAUGUUGGUCUCCGUUAAGGCACGUCUGCGCACAGAGGACAAACAGCCCUGCAGGGCGUUCUGACACCCUCUCCGUUUGUAGGGAAACCAGGAAGACCACUCCUGACCAUGUCCCUAGGCCCCACGGAGCUCACCCUGGAGACUCAGCUCUUUUCUACAGGCCCCUUGGAUUCCAUUCCCAACAAAUUUCUAGGAAACAAGAAGAAUUAAGGCAAAUCUUGGUGCAACAGAGAUCAUUUAAGAGCAUAAUUAAACUAGUGUGCUUUUUUCUUUCACUUUUCUGCACUGUAUACGUGGCCUUUCCCCUAGGCAGCCAGCAAUCGUCAUUUGCCACAAGGAAGAUGAGAAUUGUCAAAAUAAAAUGCAAACUAAAGGAAGAGGCAUUAUUCAGAUUCUGACAGAAUGAGAUAUUUGCAUCUCUGCUGAGACAAUAUUUUUAAAAGCUAUGAUUGUGAGAGGAUAAAUAAAUAUGUCCUGUGAACAAGCACAUGCGUGUAUGUAUGCACACACACAUGUAUAUAUGCAUACGUUCAUUUUCUCAAUCCUGUACUCUUCUCAACAUACUAAGAAGCCCAGCCUGGAAGAGUUUAUGCAAGGUGCUGGGUAGAAGGGACUGAGGCUGUGACAAAGGAGCUGCACUGCCUCUGGGGAGGAAAGGAGGGGAGGCCUCUGAGACCCAGAAGAAGACAGUUUUAAAUAAAGAAAAGGCAGAAGUUCAAAGCCAUUGUCUUUCUUUCCAACUCCCAGGUUGGACGCUUAAGUCAGGGACGACGGAGAGUCCAGAGGAUGUGGGGCACCCACCUGACUGAGCAGAGUGGGGUCUCCUCGCUGGCCUGGCCCCCCAGCCCAGCCAGAGGGGUCCGAGCAGGUUCCUAAGUGAGCACUCAGGAAUGUGGACACAGACUCCGCAGCAUCUGGAGAUUCUGGGGUUCCCACGGAGAUCGAGCAGAGGAGGUGGGAGAAUCAGAGAAGCCAGGUUUCAGGGCAGGAGACCUCACCAUGGAGGGACCCCAGCACCCACCCUGCCAGACCCAGGCCUCCUCAACCAGCCACAGACCCAUGCUGAGCACGGUCUCGCUCAGAGAAGUGGAAGGGGAACCCAAAGGGUGAAUAUUUCCCUCCAAAAGCUGAGUCAGCCUGAAACUCAAAAGAGCCUGAAGUCCACCUGGUGGGUGGGUUUGGGGGUCUCGCUCUCCCACCUGUGUGUGAGGCAGGGCCGGUGCUUAAGGGCAAGUAAAAUGUUUUGUGGGAAACAGACAAGUCAAAUUAGAAGAACGUCCAUCUUCCUCUCAAUCAAAGCUUAAAAUCUAUGUGACAAUAUGGAGGAAUGCUUAUAAUUGAGUUAUAAACAUGGAAAUAUGUAUAAAAUUGCCCGUACAUUAUGAGUGUGACUUAUCAACCAUCCAACUGUAGAGAAAAGAUGAGAAGAAAUUAUACUGAAAUACUAGUCGUGGUGACAUCAAUGAUGGCUGUAUUAUUCACGAAAUUUUCUUGCUAUUCGAACUUGCUCUCAACUGUCUUCUCCACCUCAUUAAGAGACAUUCACAGGUCAAGGUUUUGUUGGGGGAUUUGAGCAGGAAGAAGACAGAAGGAGUAACAGGAGCAAGUCGGAUCCACAGGAGGAGACCACAUCCUGCCGCCCUGAACCCCAGCCAGGAGGCUCUUCCAGAAUUGGCAAGAUCCACUCCUCUCCCCAGGACACAGCCUAGCAGACCUGCCCAGGCCUAGCCGUGGAGCCGCCUCUAGGAAACAGGCUCUUUGGACCGGGAGGGGAGAAACGGUUGUUUCCUUCCUGCCUUCCUCUUUUCUCUGCUUCUCCCUUCUCUCCCUUUCCCUCAAGCUGUCUCUCCUUUUCUAUAUUCUCAUCAUAUAAAUGCUUUCUCUGGGGACUGGCACUUCAGGGAUUUUGCCCAAAAGUACUCCCACCAGGGGAAGCGCAGGAUGCCUUUGCUCCAGCAUCUCUAUUAGCCAAAGAGAAUAAAACAAAGUUGAAGGAUGCCCACUUCCUGGAGCUGCUGUCCAACUGUAAUUACCUUUCCGUGCAGCAAGAGCACUUUACAAGCAUCUAUCAUCCGGUAACUAGAGUCAUGGGCAUCCCAGCUGCUGAGCGUUAUUUCCCUGCAGGAGGAAAGAGAGUUUUAACAGCUACACCCUGAUUUUCUUCCUUCAGCCAGAGAGGGACAAGAAACCGUCACCCCAGCGGAGCCCCCACCAAGGGCAAUGGGGCUCACACAUUGUUAUACUGCUUUCUAAACAGUUUUGGCCAUAUGAUCUCUAAGGACAAAUUUCUAUUCCACUUUUGCACUCAAUUCUUAUUUUACAUUUGUUUCCAGAGAGACCAAGACAACACAAUAGAAAAGUUGGACUUCUAAGGAUAUAUAGACAAGAACAUAGUAUUUUUUAGAAAUUGUUCUCAAUUACAAUAGUAAACACACACUUUCAGAAUGACUCCUCA